CCUACGGGAGGCUGCAGUGGGGGAUAUUGCACAAUGGAGGGAACUCUGAUGCAGCGACGCCGCGUGGGUGAAGAAGCGCCUCUGCGCGGAAAGCCCUGUCAGCAGGGGAGAAAAUUACGGUACCUGAAGAAGAAGCCACGGAUAACUACGGGCCAGCAGCCGCGACAAUACGCAGGGGGCCAGCGUUAUCCGGAUUUACUGGGUGUAAAGGGGGCGUAGACGGCGAUGCAAGACAGGAGUGAAAGCCCGGGGCCCAACCCCGGGACUGCUCUUGGAACUGCGUGGCUGGAGUGCAGGAGGGGCAGGCGGAAUUCCUGGUGUAGCGGUGAAAUGCGUAGAUAUCAGGAGGAACACCGGUGGCGAAGGCGGCCUGCUGGACUGCAACUGACGUUGAGGCCCGAAAGCGUGGGGAGCAAACAGGAUUAGAUACCCGUGUAGUC
rnacentral:rRNA from 1 species